UACGUAGGGCGCAAGCGUUAUCCGGAAUUAUUGGGCGUAAAGAGCUCGUAGGCGGUUUGUCGCGUCUGCCGUGAAAGUCCGGGGCUCAACUCCGGAUCUGCGGUGGGUACGGGCAGACUAGAGUGCGGUAGGGGAGAUUGGAAUUCCUGGUGUAGCGGUGGAAUGCGCAGAUAUCAGGAGGAACACCGAUGGCGAAGGCGGCCAACUGGACAGAUACUGACGCUGAGACACGAAAGCGUGGGGAGCAAACAGG
rnacentral:rRNA from 1 species